UACGAAGGGGGCUAGCGUUGCUCGGAAUCACUGGGCGUAAAGGGCGCGUAGGCUGAUCUUUAAGUCAGGGGUGAAAUCCCGGGGCUCAACCUCGGAACUGCCCUUGAAACUGCAGUGCUAGAAUCUUGGAGAGGCGAGUGGAAUUCCGAGUGUAGAGGUGAAAUUCGUAGAUAUUCGGAAGAACACCAGUGGCGAAGGCGACUCGCUGGACAAGUAUUGACGCUGAGGUGCGAAAGCGUGGGGAGCAAACAGGG
rnacentral:rRNA from 1 species